GGGUAGUCCGGGCGAGAGGACGAGGUAAUACGGAGGGUGCAAGCGGUUGCCUGAGUUAUUGGUGUUAAAGGGUCCGUAGGCGGACUUAUAGAUCAGUGGUGAAAGCCUGUCGCUUAACGAUAGAACUGCCAUUGAUACUGUAAGUCUUGAGUAUAUUUGAGGUAGCUGGAAUAAGUAGUGUAGCGGUGAAAUGCAUAGAUAUUACUUAGAACACCAAUCGCGAAGGCAGGUUACCAAGAUAUAGCUGACGCUGAGGGACGAAAGCGUGGGGAGCGAACAGGAUUAGAUACCCGGGUAGUC
rnacentral:rRNA from 1 species